rnacentral:rRNA from 1 species
UACAGAGGGUGCGAGCGUUGUCCGGAAUCACUGGGCGUAAAGGGCGCGUAGGCGGCUUGAUAAGCGUGCGGUGAAAGCCCGGGGCUCAACCCCGGGUCGGCCGUGCGAACUGUCGAGCUGGAGCACCGUAGAGGCAGGUGGAAUUCCGGGUGUAGCGGUGGAAUGCGUAGAGAUCCGGAAGAACACCGGUGGCGAAGGCGGCCUGCUGGGCAGUGGCUGACGCUGAGGCGCGACAGCGUGGGGAGCGAACAGG